UUUAUGUAGUUUAAUAAACAUUACAUUUUCAUUGUAAAAUUAAAAUUUUAAUUUUCUUAA
rnacentral:tRNA from 1 species